rnacentral:rRNA from 1 species
AGAGUUUGAUCCUGGCUCAGAUUGAACGCUGGCGGAACGCUUUACACAUGCAAGUCGAACGGUAACGCGGAGAGAAGCUUGCUUCUCUCCGGCGACGAGUGGCGAACGGGUGAGUAAUACAUCGGAACGUGUCCGCUCGUGGGGGACAACCAGCCGAAAGGUUGGCUAAUACCGCAUGAGUUCUACGGAAGAAAGAGGGGGACCCGCAAGGGCCUCUCGCGAGCGGAGCGGCCGAUGACUGAUUAGCCGGUUGGUGAGGUAACGGCUCACCAAAGCAACGAUCAGUAGCUGGUCUGAGAGGACGACCAGCCACACUGGGACUGAGACACGGCCCAGACUCCUACGGGAGGCAGCAGUGGGGAAUUUUGGACAAUGGGCGCAAGCCUGAUCCAGCUAUUCCGCGUGUGGGAUGAAGGCCCUCGGGUUGUAAACCACUUUUGUAGAGAACGAAAAGACACCUUCGAAUAAAGGGUGUUGCUGACGGUACUCUAAGAAUAAGCACCGGCUAACUACGUGCCAGCAGCCGCGGUAAUACGUAGGGUGCGAGCGUUAAUCGGAAUUACUGGGCGUAAAGGGUGCGCAGGCGGUUGAGUAAGACAGAUGUGAAAUCCCCGAGCUUAACUCGGGAAUGGCAUAUGUGACUGCUCGACUAGAGUGUGUCAGAGGGAGGUGGAAUUCCACGUGUAGCAGUGAAAUGCGUAGAUAUGUGGAAGAACACCGAUGGCGAAGGCAGCCUCCUGGGACAUAACUGACGCUCAGGCACGAAAGCGUGGGGAGCAAACAGGAUUAGAUACCCUGGUAGUCCACGCCCUAAACGAUGUUAACUAGUUGUUGGGAAGUAAAAUUCUCAGUAACGCAGCCAACGCGAGAAGUUAACCGCCUGGGAAGUACGGUCGCAAGACUAAAACUCAAAGGAAUUGACGGGGACCCGCACAAGCGGUGGAUGAUGUGGAUUAAUUCGAUGCAACGCGAAAAACCUUAC